rnacentral:rRNA from 1 species
CAACUUUCAACAACGGAUCUCUUGGUUCUCGCAUCGAUGAAGAACGCAGCGAAUUGCGAUAAGUAAUGUGAAUUGCAGAAUUCAGUGAAUCAUCGAAUCUUUGAACGCACAUUGCACCCUCCUAUUCCGGAGGGUAUGCCUGUUUGAGUGUCAUU